rnacentral:rRNA from 1 species
CCAGACUCCUACGGGAGGCAGCAGUGAGGAAGAAUGGUCAAUGGGAGAGAGCAUGAACAAGUCAAGUCGCGUGAGGGAGUACUGCCCUAUGGGUUGUAAAAAUCUUUUGUCGGGGAGAAAAAGCCGGAUGUGUCCGGCUGUGAGAGUACCCGAAGAAAAAGCAUCGGCUCACUCCGUGCCAGCAGCCGAGGUAAUACGGAGGAUGCGAGCGUUAUCCGGAUUUAUUGGGUUUAAAGGGUGCGCAGGCGGAUUUUUAAGUCAGCGGUAAAAUCGUGGGGCUCAACCCCAUCCAGCCGUUGAAACUGGGGAUCUAGAGUGUGCGAGAGGUAUGCGGAAUGCGUGGUGUAGCGGUGAAAUGCAUAGAUAUCACGCAGAACCCCGAUUGCGAAGGCAGCAUACCGGUGCACAACUGACGCUCAGGCACGAAAGCGUGGGUAUCGAACAGGAUUAGAUACCCCUGUA